UACAGAGGGUGCAAGCGUUGUUCGGAAUUAUUGGGCGUAAAGAGCGUGUAGGCGGCCAGGUAGGUCUGCUGUGAAAACUCGAGGCUCAACCUCGAGACGUCGGUUGAAACCGUACGGCUAGAGUCCGGAAGAGGAGAGUGGAAUUCCCGGUGUAGCGGUGAAAUGCGCAGAUAUCGGGAAGAACACCCGUGGCGAAGGCGGCUCUCUGGGACGGUACUGACGCUGAGACGCGAAAGCGUGGGGAGCGAACAGG
rnacentral:rRNA from 1 species